CGGCUUAAAGUUUGAUCAUGGCUCAAAUUGAACGCUGGCGGCAGGCCUAACACAUGCAAGUCGAGCGGUAGGGAAGCUUGCUUCUCACAAGCGGCGGACGGGUGAGUAAUGUAUGGGGAUCUGCCCGAUAGAGGGGGAUAACUACUGGAAACGGUAGCUAAUACCGCAUAAUCUCUCAGGAGCAAAGCAGUUCGUUGCGCUAUCGGAUGAACCCAUAUGGGAUUAGCUAGUUGGUGAGGUAAUGGCUCACCAAGGCGACAAUCCCUAGCUGGUCUGAGAGGAUGAUCAGCCACACUGGGACUGAAACACGGCCCAAACUCCUACGGGAGGCAGCAGUGGGGAAUAUUGCACAAUGGGCGCAAGCCUGAUGCAGCCAUGCCGCGUGUAUGAAGAAGGCCUUAGGGUUGUAAAGUACUUUCAGUUGGGAGGAAGGCGUUGAUUAAUAUCAACGAUUGACGUUACCAACAGAAGAAGCACCGGCUAACUCCGUGCCAGCAGCCGCGGU
rnacentral:rRNA from 1 species